AGCGAACGCUGGCGGCAGGCCUAACACAUGCAAGUCGAACGAACCUUUCGGGGUUAGUGGCGGACGGGUGAGUAACACGUGGGAACGUGCCUUUAGGUUCGGAAUAACUCAGGGAAACUUGUGCUAAUACCGAAUGUGCCCUUCGGGGGAAAGAUUUAUCGCCUUUAGAGCGGCCCGCGUCUGAUUAGCUAGUUGGUUGAGGUAAUGGCUCACCAAGGCGACGAUCAGUAGCUGGUCUGAGAGGAUGAUCAGCCACAUUGGGACUGAGACACGGCCCAAACUCCUACGGGAGGCAGCAGUGGGGAAUCUUGCGCAAUGGGCGGAAGCCUGACGCAGCCAUGCCGCGUGAAUGAUGAAGGUCUUAGGAUUGUAAAAUUCUUUCACCGGGGACGAUAAUGACGGUACCCGGAGAAGAAGCCCCGGCUAACUUCGUG
rnacentral:rRNA from 1 species